AAAGGGAUGCUGGAGCAGAACCACCGCAGAGGUGCGAUCGGAGGAGAUCGUCCUUCUUUUUGGAUCAUCAAUGACGUAAGUAAUAUCGUCGUAGUUGUGUGUUGUCGAUGGCUGAUGAAAUCUAAGGGUGUUGGGUGAAGUCCUUCACUGACGAAGAAGAAGAAGAGGUGGGUGAAAUCCGUCGCGAUUUGAUAAAGGUGGCUUGGUUGGGUUUGACGCCGAGGGGGAUUGUGGAGGUGUGAGUGGCGAAAAUGACGUGAUAUAGAGAUUGUUGAAGAUGUUG
rnacentral:lncRNA from 1 species